AAACUUAAUGAAUUGGCGGGGGCCCGCACAAGCAGCGGAGCAUGUGGUUUAAUUCGAAGCAACGCGAAGAACCUUACCUAGACUUGACAUCUCCUGAAUUACCCGUAACUGGGGAAGCUCUUCGGAGCAGGAAGACAGGUGGUGCAUGGUUGUCGUCAGCUCGUGUCGUGAGAUGUUGGGUUAAGUCCCGCAACGAGCGCAACCCUUAUCGUUAGUUGCUACCAUUAAGUUGAGCACUCUAGCGAGACUGCCCGGGUUAACCGGGAGGAAGGUGGGGAUGACGUCAAAUCAUCAUGCCCCUUAUGUCUAGGGCUACACACGUGCUACAAUGGUGAGGACAAAGAGACGCAAGACCGCGAGGUGGAGCAAAUCUCACAAACCUCAUCCCAGUUCGGAUUGCAGGCUGAAACUCGCCUGCAUGAAGCCGGAGUUGCUAGUAAUCGCGAAUCAGCAUGUCGCGGUGAAUACGUUCCCGGGCCUUGCACACACCGCCCGU
rnacentral:rRNA from 1 species